GCCGAUGGCCGCGGCGAAGAGCUCGCUGAGGCAACCGCCUCCCGCCGCCCGCCUCCGCCGUCAGGGGCUCGCUUUCACCUCCCUCCUCUCCUCCCUGCGGCUUGCCGGGAAGUGUAGUUCCUCCUGUCGCCUGCCCCCUUGUCCCUCAGCCCCUCCUCAGGGCCGGCUCCGUGCCCGCUGGGGACAGCCCCGGGGAGGGCGAGGCAUGGUUGGGGGCCGCGGACCGAAAGUGGAGGUCGCGCUGGUGGUUUGGUGUAUUCUUACGUGUCGGGGAAGCGUUGAAAAGCUUUGGAGUAAGUCAGUGAAGCGCGGAGAUGUGGAGGAACUGAGCUGCCAAGUAAUGAAGCAGAGGCUCACAGACAGUUCAAUCAGGUUUUGUUUCAACUGGUCUAACCUGCAAAUUACAGAGCAGUGCACUGUAGGUCAGAAGUGUUUUACUCGUGGAUGGCAUGCUGGUUAAAUCUCAGUGAAACCACUAUGUGAGACAGAACACAAUAUUUGCAUUACGACUCUGUACUGUGCAAUGCAAAAGAGACUAGAGGGGUCGCUGCUUCUUGUAGACCUUCAAGUCCAGUACUGUGUGGAAAUAGAUCUGAGGAAGGACGAGAGAACACGCUGUUUCUGUACGCUGUUCCACCUGCUGCAUGCGUGCCAGCUGCACUCACUCUGGGGCAGUUGCUGUAGACAGCUGGGGAAGGGUGAGUGAGAGCAGUCUUGGCACAGAUGUGACUGUUAUGAACUAAACUUUAGGGAUUGUGUCUGAAUUAUUCCAGUGCUGACAUACAUAGACAGUGGUGAUAGAGGUGCGUGGUGGUAUGUUUCCGCCGUAAGUACUGCCUGCAAUUUAGUGACAUGUGCCUUGAGUCUCUAAAGCUCAUGGGAAAUGAUACAAUGUCUCAGGAGAACUCUGUAGGGCAAGGAGGAGGUGGAGCAAGCCUUGUGUCAUUUCCAUGGAAUAGGUUCGAUGCUUGCAUACAGACCAGGCAAAACUAGUUUCUGCAGACCCUCUUGUUACAGUAGAACAUGUCGAUCCCCUGCCCAAUAUGAUUAUGAUUGUUAGCAGUUGUGUGGAAAUCUGGUGGGGAGGAAGGGGAAGAGGUAGAAAAGGAACGUGGAAAGUAAUUAUAGAAAACUAUUUGUUAGGGGAGUAUUAAAAAGGUAUAGAAACCCAAAACAUGAUGACCAGGAAACAGAAAGCAGCAAAUGGGCUAUGAGAUGUCCUUGUUCUACAAGCUAAAAUUCUGUGGCUUAGCAAAGGAUCACAGAAUGGGGAAAAUUCUCUGUUUCCCAAUAAUGGAAAACAGAGAUGAAUGUGUUAUCUUACCAGAUGUUUUACUUUAUAAAAGGUGGGAUAAAUAAUGAGUAAUUUUACUUCUUUGGGUACUUAAUGAAAGAGGCAAAAUUUUGGUUUGGCCACCGAGUGGAAGUAACAUCCUAAAAGAGGACUAUAAAGUAGUGGAUGCGUUACCUUGGAAACAAUGAGAGCCUUCAUUAGGCAGGUCGCUGUUAAUAAAAAGUUAAUUAAGAAUACUGGUAGUGAAGCA
rnacentral:lncRNA from 1 species